UUAGUAUUAUGUCGUAGACCCGAAACCAUGUGACCUACCCAUGAGCAGGUUGAAGGUGCGGUAAGACGCACUGGAGGACCGAACCAGGGCACGUUGAAAAGUGCUUGGAUGACUUGUGGGUAGCGGAGAAAUUCCAAACGAACUUGGAGAUAGCUGGUUCUCUCCGAAAUAGCUUUAGGGCUAGCGUCGACAUUUGAGAAUCUUGGAGGUAGAGCACUGUUUGGAUGAGGGGGCCAUCUCGGUUUACUGAUUUCAGAUAAACUCCGAAUGCCAAUGAUUUAUGGUCGGCAGUCAGACUGCGAGUGCUAAGAUCCGUAGUCGAAAGGGAAACAGCCCAGACCACCAGCUAAGGUCCCAAAAUAAUUGUUAAGUGGAAAAGGAUGUGGGGUUGCACAGACAACUAGGAUGUUAGCUUAGAAGCAGCUAUUCAUUCAAAGAGUGCGUAAUAGCUCACUAGUCGAGUGACCCUGCGCCGAAAAUGUACCGGGGCUAAAACAAUUUACCGAAGCUGUGGAUAACACAUUAGUGUUAUGGUAGGAGAGCGUUCUAUGUGUGAAGAAGGUAUACCGUGAGGAGUGCUGGAACGCAUAGAAGUGAGAAUGCCGGUAUGAGUAGCGAAAGAUGGGUGAGAAUCCCAUCCACCG
rnacentral:rRNA from 1 species